GAUGAACGCUGGCGGCGUGCCUAAUACAUGCAAGUCGAGCGAACAGACGAGGAGCUUGCUCCUCUGACGUUAGCGGCGGACGGGUGAGUAACACGUGGAUAACCUACCUAUAAGACUGGGAUAACUUCGGGAAACCGGAGCUAAUACCGGAUAAUAUAUUUAACCGCAUGGUUCAAUAGCGAAAGACGGUUUUGCUGUCACUUAUAGAUGGAUCCGCUCCGCAUUAGCUAGUUGGUAAGGUAACGGCUUACCAAGGCAACGAUGCGUAGCCGACCUGAGAGGGUGAUCGGCCACACUGGAACUGAGACACGGUCCAGACUCCUACGGGAGGCAGCAGUAGGGAAUCUUCCGCAAUGGGCGAAAGCCUGACGGAGCAACGCCGCGUGAGUGAUGAAGGUCUUCGGAUCGUAAAACUCUGUUAUUAGGGAAGAACAAAUGUGUAAGUAACUAUGCACGUCUUGACGGUACCUAAUCAGAAAGCCACGGCUAACUACGUG
rnacentral:rRNA from 1 species